rnacentral:rRNA from 1 species
GGUGGUAAUGCCGGAUGCUCCAGUUGACCGCAUGGUCCUCUGGGAAAGCUUUUGCGGUAUGGGAUGGGGUCGCGUCCUAUCAGCUUGAUGGCGGGGUAACGGCCCACCAUGGCUUCGACGGGUAGCCGGCCUGAGAGGGCGACCGGCCACAUUGGGACUGAGAUACGGCCCAGACUCCUACGGGAGGCAGCAGUGGGGAAUAUUGCACAAUGGGCGCAAGCCUGAUGCAGCGACGCCGCGUGCGGGAUGACGGCCUUCGGGUUGUAAACCGCUUUUGACUGGGAGCAAGCCCUUCGGGGUGAGUGUACCUUUCGAAUAAGCACCGGCUAACUACGUGCCAGCAGCCGCGGUAAUACGUAGGGUGCAAGCGUUAUCCGGAAUUAUUGGGCGUAAAGGGCUCGUAGGCGGUUCGUCGCGUCCGGUGUGAAAGUCCAUCGCUUAACGGUGGAUCCGCGCCGGGUACGGGCGGGCUUGAGUGCGGUAGGGGAGACUGGAAUUCCCGGUGUAACGGUGGAAUGUGUAGAUAUCGGAAAAGAACACCA